AUGGCCAUAUCACGUUGAAACAUCGGUUUCCGAACGAUCUCCGAAGUUAAGCUACGUCUAGCCUGGUCAGUACCUAGAUGAGUUACCGCUUGAAAAUACCAGG